GCGGAAGGAUCAUUAUUGAAAUACUUUGAAGGGGAUUGUUGCUGGCCUAUAAACAAGGCAUGUGCACAUCUUCUUUCAAUCUAUUCAUCCACCUGUGCACCCUUUGUAGGAGCUUGGGUUUGUUGUGAGGUCGUACAUUCUGUGUGUGGCUUUGUGAUAGACCUUCUAGGUUCCUACGUCUUACAAACUCUAUUGAAUGUCUUUGAAUGUCUUAUUGGGACUUAAUUGACCCUUUAAACUUAUACAACUUUCAGCAACGGAUCUCUUGGCUCUCGCAUCGAUGAAGAACGCAGCGAAAUGCGAUAAGUAAUGUGAAUUGCAGAAUUCAGUGAAUCAUCGAAUCUUUGAACGCACCUUGCGCCCCUUGGUAUUCCGAGGGGCAUGCCUGUUUGAGUGUCAUUAAAUUCUCAACCUCUAAAGCUUUUUAGUUCUAUGAGGCUUGGAUUUGUGGGGGUUUGCUGGCGUCUGCUCAGCUCCUCUUAAAAGCAUUAGUGGAAACCGCUUGUUGGACCAACUUUGGUGUGAUAAUUAUCUACGCCUUGGCUGUCUGACAGCUCUUUUGGUUAGGAUGGCUGCGUAAAAGCUCUGUCUGUUCAAUCUCAAAAGAGUUGGAUGUCUGCUCUCUAACUGUCUGUGUAUAUGGACAAACUUAUUGACAAUUGACCUCAAA
rnacentral:rRNA from 1 species